rnacentral:rRNA from 1 species
GGGGGGCUAGAUUAGCCAUGCAUGUCCAAGUAUAGAACUGCUUAUACUGUGAAACUGCGAAUGGCUCAUUAAAUCAGUUAUAGUUUAUUUGAUGGUACCUGGCUACUCGGAUACCCGUAGUAAUUCUAGAGCUAAUACGUGCGCACAUCCCGACUUCUCGGAAGGGACGUAUUUAUUAGAUAAAAGGCCGACCGGGCUUGCCCGAUUCGCGGCGAAUCAUGAUAACUCCACGAAUCGCACGGCCUCCGCGCCGGCGAUGUUUCAUUCAAAUUUCUGCCCUAUCAACUUUCGAUGGUAGGAUUGAGGCCUACCAUGGUUUAGACGGUCGACGGGGAAUUAUGGUCCUAGGCAGGAGAUGUCGCCUUCCACACCGGGGCCCCUUUUUGGUGGGGUUUCUCACAAUGGGUUUUAACUACCUCCGGUUCUUAAUUCCGGUCCGAUUACCCCUAAACCCCCCCUUUCUUUUCCUUAAAAAAGACACUCCCGAAAACUUAAAGACAAUCCCCCCCCAGGCUCCCACACAAGUGUGCGCGCUACCCCUUCUAGUAUUUUAUUGUUUUCGGGUGGUUGUAACCCUCUCUUGGCGACGACAAGUGCCUCUUCUCAAUUUAAUUGAGCUUGGCAGGAUCUUGCUCAAUCAUGCAAAACUGCUUCCAACUACUCGCGAUUAAUCGUCUGUACGUCGUGGCUCCCACGAUGUUGUGACACCAGGGGACUACUAUCUACUACGCAAAACUACGACAGCCCCCUUCGAGCUACUUACUGCUAGGUUGCUGUCUGUGUAAGCUACUGAUAGC